rnacentral:tRNA from 1 species
CGCAGGAUAGAGCAGUUGGCAGCUCGUCGGGCUCAUAACCCGGAGGUCGUAGGUUCAAAUCCUACUCCUGCUA